UAGCUACUCCGCUGAAAGAUAAGAAGAAAAUAUAGAAGUAAACUUUCUCGUACGACGCUUCGUUUUCGAGAAAGUCGAGCUUGAAAAUUUGUCAAACAUACUUCAACUUGGAUUAGAUAAUCGACAGGAUGUUGUUCUACACAUGUGCAAACUUAAUAUACAGCGUCUAUAGACGCUACAGUACAUAAUCAGAGAAUCUUUCGACAUUUGUUACAAUCAUCGAGGCUCGGUAAUCUCUUGAUCAAUAGCAUCAAACAAUACAACAAACCUACUCAAACCGCGCCAAUCGCCAAUUAAACGUACCAGUUUUUCGAUACCUAUCGAGGUCGUGAAGAUUCAUAACGCCAAAAGGAAAGGAUCUAUCAAUUCGUCGAUCUUUCAUGUAGAAUCGUUAGAUAUCGAUAUGUGGCGAGAUGAACGAUAAAGCAGGCGGACUCGCCGGAGCGAGUCUAACACUUUGUUCUUGUUGACAGGCGGCCUGGUAGCGUGGCAAGGACAAUCGCUCGAAUGAUACGAAAUUUAAUAUACCCGAACCUAAUUACAAUGGCGAAGAAAAGAAGGUUUGUAAAACGCGAAGUAUAAAAAGACCGCAGAAUUUUACAAAAUCGAUCUAU